rnacentral:rRNA from 9 species
GGGUUGUGAGGUUAAGCGACUAAGCGUACACGGUGGAUGCCCUGGCAGUCAGAGGCGAUGAAGGGCGUACUAAUCUGCGAUAAGCGCCGGUAAGGUGAUAUGAACCGUUAUAACCGGCGAUACCCGAAUGGGGAAACCCAGUGUGAUUCGUCACACUAUCAUUAACUGAAUCCAUAGGUUAAUGAGGCGAACCGGGGGAACUGAAACAUCUAAGUACCCCGAGGAAAAGAAAUCAACCGAGAUUCCCCCAGUAGCGGCGAGCGAACGGGGAGGAGCCCAGAGCCUGAAUCAGCAUGUGUGUUAGUGGAAGCGUCUGGAAAGGCGCGCGAUACAGGGUGACAGCCCCGUACACAAAAGCGCAUGUGCUGUGAGCUCGAUGAGUAGGGCGGGACACGUGGUAUCCUGUCUGAAUAUGGGGGGACCAUCCUCCAAGGCUAAAUACUCCUGACUGACCGAUAGUGAACCAGUACCGUGAGGGAAAGGCGAAAAGAACCCCGGCGAGGGGAGUGAAAAAGAACCUGAAACCGUGUACGUACAAGCAGUGGGAGCACCCUUUGGGUGUGACUGCGUACCUUUUGUAUAAUGGGUCAGCGACUUAUAUUCUGUAGCAAGGUUAACCGAAUAGGGGAGCCGGAGGGAAACCGAGUCUUAAUUGGGCGUUAAGUUGCAGGGUAUAGACCCGAAACCCGGUGAUCUAGCCAUGGGCAGGUUGAAGGUUGGGUAACACUAACUGGAGGACCGAACCGACUAAUGUUGAAAAAUUAGCGGAUGACCUGUGGCUGGGGGUGAAAGGCCAAUCAAACCGGGAGAUAGCUGGUUCUCCCCGAAAGCUAUUUAGGUAGCGCCUCGUGAAUUCAUCUCCGGGGGUAGAGCACUGUUUCGGCUAGGGGGCCAUCCCGGCUUACCAACCCGAUGCAAACUGCGAAUACCGGAGAAUGUUAUCACGGGAGACACACGGCGGGUGCUAACGUCCGUCGUGAAGAGGGAAACAACCCAGACCGCCAGCUAAGGUCCCAAAGUCAUGGUUAAGUGGGAAACGAUGUGGGAAGGCCCAGACAGCCAGGAUGUUGGCUUAGAAGCAGCCAUCAUUUAAAGAAAGCGUAAUAGCUCACUGGUCGAGUCGGCCUGCGCGGAAGAUGUAACGGGGCUAAACCAUGCACCGAAGCUGCGGCAGCGACGCUUAUGCGUUGUUGGGUAGGGGAGCGUUCUGUAAGCCUGCGAAGGUGGCCUGUGAGGGUUGCUGGAGGUAUCAGAAGUGCGAAUGCUGACAUAAGUAACGAUAAAGCGGGUGAAAAGCCCGCUCGCCGGAAGACCAAGGGUUCCUGUCCAACGUUAAUCGGGGCAGGGUGAGUCGACCCCUAAGGCGAGGCCGAAAGGCGUAGUCGAUGGGAAACGGGUUAAUAUUCCCGUACUUGGUGUUACUGCGAAGGGGGGACGGAGAAGGCUAUGUUGGCCGGGCGACGGUUGUCCCGGUUUAAGCGUGUAGGUGUGUGUUCCAGGUAAAUCCGGUUCACUUUAACACUGAGGCGUGACGACGAGGCACUACGGUGCUGAAGCAACAAAUGCCCUGCUUCCAGGAAAAGCCUCUAAGCAUCAGGUAACAUCAAAUCGUACCCCAAACCGACACAGGUGGUCAGGUAGAGAAUACCAAGGCGCUUGAGAGAACUCGGGUGAAGGAACUAGGCAAAAUGGUGCCGUAACUUCGGGAGAAGGCACGCUGACACGUAGGUGAAGUGAUUUACUCAUGGAGCUGAAGUCAGUCGAAGAUACCAGCUGGCUGCAACUGUUUAUUAAAAACACAGCACUGUGCAAACACGAAAGUGGACGUAUACGGUGUGACGCCUGCCCGGUGCCGGAAGGUUAAUUGAUGGGGUCAGCGCAAGCGAAGCUCCUGAUCGAAGCCCCGGUAAACGGCGGCCGUAACUAUAACGGUCCUAAGGUAGCGAAAUUCCUUGUCGGGUAAGUUCCGACCUGCACGAAUGGCGUAAUGAUGGCCAGGCUGUCUCCACCCGAGACUCAGUGAAAUUGAACUCGCUGUGAAGAUGCAGUGUACCCGCGGCAAGACGGAAAGACCCCGUGAACCUUUACUAUAGCUUGACACUGAACAUUGAGCCUUGAUGUGUAGGAUAGGUGGGAGGCUUUGAAGUGUGGACGCCAGUCUGCAUGGAGCCGACCUUGAAAUACCACCCUUUAAUGUUUGAUGUUCUAACGUGGACCCGUUACCCGGGUUGCGGACAGUGUCUGGUGGGUAGUUUGACUGGGGCGGUCUCCUCCUAAAGAGUAACGGAGGAGCACGAAGGUUGGCUAAUCCUGGUCGGACAUCAGGAGGUUAGUGCAAUGGCAUAAGCCAGCUUGACUGCGAGCGUGACGGCGCGAGCAGGUGCGAAAGCAGGUCAUAGUGAUCCGGUGGUUCUGAAUGGAAGGGCCAUCGCUCAACGGAUAAAAGGUACUCCGGGGAUAACAGGCUGAUACCGCCCAAGAGUUCAUAUCGACGGCGGUGUUUGGCACCUCGAUGUCGGCUCAUCACAUCUGGGGCUGAAGUAGGUCCCAAGGGUAUGGCUGUUCGCCAUUUAAAGUGGUACGCGAGCUGGGUUUAGAACGUCGUGAGACAGUUCGGUCCCUAUCUGCCGUGGGCGCUGGAGAACUGAGGGGGGCUGCUCCUAGUACGAGAGGACCGGAGUGGACGCAUCACUGGUGUUCGGGUUGUCAUGCCAAUGGCACUGCCCGGUAGCUAAAUGCGGAAGAGAUAAGUGCUGAAAGCAUCUAAGCACGAAACUUGCCCCGAGAUGAGUUCUCCCUGAGACUUAAAGUCUCCUGAAGGAACGUUGAAGACGACGACGUUGAUAGGCCGGGUGUGUAAGCGCAGCGAUGCGUUGAGCUAACCGGUACUAAUGAACCGUGAGGCUUAACCUUACAACGCCGAAG